UGGCGCACGGGUGCGUAACGCGUGGGAAUCUGCCCUUCGGUUCGGAAUAACAGUGGGAAACUACUGCUAAUACCGGAUAAUGACGUAAGUCCAAAGAUUUAUCGCCGAGGGAUGAGCCCGCGUAAGAUUAGCUAGUUGGUGGGGUAAAGGCCUACCAAGGCUACGAUCUUUAGCUGGUCUGAGAGGAUGAUCAGCCACACUGGGACCGAGACACGGGCCCGACUCCUACGGGAGGCAGCAGUAAGGAAUAUUGGUCAAUGGAGGCAACUCUGAACCAGCCAUGCCGCGUGAAGGAUGAAGGUCCUCUGGAUUGUAAACUUCUUUUAUGUGGGAAGAAAUGCAUUCUUUAUAGAGUGUUUGACGGUACCAUAGGAAUAAGCACCGGCUAACUCCGUGCCAGCAGCCGCGGUAAUACGGAGGGUGCAAGCGUUAUCCGGAUUCACUGGGUUUAAAGGGUGCGUAGGUGGGAAUGUAAGUCAGUGGUGAAAUCUCUGAGCUUAACUCAGAAACUGCCAUUGAUACUAUGUUUCUUGAAUUUUCUGGAGGUCAGCGGAAUAUGUCAUGUAGCGGUGAAAUGCUUAGAUAUGACAUAGAACACCAAUUGCGAAGGCAGCUGACUACAGGGAUAUUGACACUGAGGCACGAAAGCGUGGGGAUCAAACAGGAUUAGAUACCCUGGUAGUCCACGCCCUAAACGAUGGAUACUCGACAUUUGUGAUAGACAAUAAGUGUC
rnacentral:rRNA from 1 species